GAGAUUUAAAACGAAAACCAACUAACUCUUAUAGGAUAAGAAUACUUUUAAUGUCUCAAGCAUUUGAUUUGGAUCAUCAGCAGAGGAUGGCUCAGUUGCCAACUAAGCGCUAUAUGUUGUAUACCUGGAAGAAAGUCAACCUACUCUUAUUGAAAUAAUAAAGUUCCCACC